GAUGAACGCUGGCGGCGUGCUUAACACAUGCAAGUCGAACGAAGCGCUUAGGAAGAUUUCUUCGGAAUGAAGCUUAAGUGACUGAGUGGCGGACGGGUGAGUAAYGCGKGGGUAACCUSCCUCAUACAGGGGGAUAACAGUCAGAAAUGACUGCUAAUWCCGCAUAAGCGCACAGUACCGCAUGGUACGGUGUGAAAAACUCCGGUGGUAUGGGAUGGACCCGCGUCUGAUUAGCUGGUUGGUGGGGUAACGGCCUACCAAGGCGACGAUCAGUAGCCGGCCUGAGAGGGCGACCGGCCACAUUGGGACUGAGACACGGCCCAAACUCCUACGGGAGGCAGCAGUGGGGAAUAUUGCACAAUGGGGGAAACCCUGAUGCAGCGACGCCGCGUGAGCGAAGAAGUAYUUCGGUA
rnacentral:rRNA from 1 species